rnacentral:rRNA from 1 species
AAUAUUUCACAAUGGGGGAAACCCUGAUGCAGCGACGCCGCGUGAGCGAAGAAGGAAUUCGGGUCGUCACGCACUGUCCUACGGGAAAAAACUGACGGUAACUUAGGAGGAAGCCCAGGCUAACUACGUGCCAGCAGCCGCUGUAAUACGUAGGGGGCGAGCGUUAUUCGGAAUUAUUGGGUGUAAAGGGUGCGUAGGCGGCCUUUUAAGUCAGAUGUGAAAGGCUACGGCUUAACCGUAGUUAGCAUUUGAAACUAAAAGGCUUGAGUGCAGGAGAGGAGAGUGGAAUUCCUAGUGUAGCGGUGAAAUGCGUAGAUAUUAGGAGGAACACCAGUGGCGAAGGCGACUCUCUGGACUGCAACUGACGCUGAGGCACGAAAGCGUGGGGAGCGAACA